CGGGUUCUGCCCUGCGCGACUGACGUUACAUUCCAGUGGCCUUAAGCAAAUCCGAGGGAGCUGGCUCUGUCAUAGCCCUGGUUACGUUAACCGGCGCCCACCUGUACAUACAGGUCCUCGGGAAUACAACCGACCCGGCAACGGCGGUCCCGCC
rnacentral:sRNA from 1 species